rnacentral:lncRNA from 1 species
CUAUAGUUGAUCAUCCAGUUGGGCCAAUCACUCAGGCCCGUGCGAGAGAAUUAAACUUCAUCAUGCUGGUAAGGAACGAAGGCCCAGCGGAAUAAGAAGAUGGCCCAACAGGGCAGCCCAGGUGGGGCGCCUAGGGUUGGGAGCCGCGGCCCUCCCCCUGGUCGCGCGCGCCCCCUCCUGCCGUGGCGCCUCCUCCGGACUCCAGGGGUUGCGUCCCGUUUAUUUAGUUGGAGUCCCUUUUGUUUACAACUUGAGUUUUGUUUUACAUCUAGCUUUAGCUACUCUCGAACACGCGCAAAUACGCGCUAUCCUUGUGUGAUUCAGAACUCCACCUUCGAGUGAUAUUUAGAUUGCUCGCCUCUUUUUCUUGUUCGUUCUUCGAUUGCGGACAGGAAUCGAUCUUCGUGAUUAGGCUGAUCUUGCGCUGGCAAGGUUGGUAACCACAGGGAGUUGGUUCAGCAAUUGCAUUGGCGCUUCGGGUUCGCUCGUCGUAGUCGGAUCGUGAGGGUUUACUUCCACCAAGUCGAAUUUAUCUCCACUCACCGAAAGAUCGGGCACUCCGACUCUAUCAAGUGGUAUCAGUUUUCCAGGUUGCUCGGUGAGUUUAUCGAGUGUUUUUUUCCCUUCCUACAGUCCACAAAAACCAAACAAAAAUUUAUUUUCAGGUUAGAUCCUUGUCCCAGCAACCCUUUUGAGCCUUGCACCUUCUUUCAAUAAUUUGCAUUGUUGAAUUUGUGUGCUUUCCGAAUCAAUUGUUGCUGGUUACGUUGUGUUUUCCCUUCCGUUGUCUUCAACCCUAGCACGCCGCCGCUCUGCCACGAAUCGCAAGGCAGCCGCGCCGUACCCCCCCUGGUCGCCUUCUCCUCCCUGCCUUGUGUGUUUGGCAAGUCAAAAAAAAAGACAAAAAAAAGGAAAGACAGCAAUCAAAAAGAAAGAGACCAGUCCGCACGGGAGAAGGACGCCGAUCCGAUCACGCGGGUACGCCGCGCGUACCAUCCUACCGAAAUACCCCUGUACUUCGGGUAAAAGUGUGUGUGGUGCCUUGCUGUUUCCGAGUCAUUUUACCCCUAUUUCUCAGUUUUGGGGCACCCUGAAAAAAAAAGAAUCAAAACAGAAAAACAAUAGAGGUGCGCCCUCUCCACCUUGGCCGUUUCCUUGCCUCUAUUCCUUCCGGUUUCACUUGUUACCAGCAACUUUUGUUACGUGUUUGGCACUAUAAUUCACCUUUGCAUUAUUGUUUGAUUGUGCUAAUCCUUCAAUUGAGUGCAGCCUUCCCAGAACUCCACAUAGUUCUACGACGAGCAUAUUUUGUUUCUCCAGGCAAUCGCUCCUCCAAUCUUUCGCGAGUUCCACCGGUUGGUUGCAGUUCGCCCCUGUGUGCGUGGUAAGAACGGAUAAGAAUUUGAUAACAGCACUAGUGUGAGCGCCUUGUGAGCCGUUACACCCCUGUUUUGUCGUCGGUUUUGUUCUUGUAUUUGCGCUAACCAUGGUAGAUGAUGUCGACGCGGGGGCUAACCAGCUGCAGGGCAUACGGGCACAAGUUGAAGGGCUUGUCGCAGACAUUCAGACGAUUCAUGAACAGCUGGACUCGACGAUCUCCUCGAUGACCGAGCGGUGCGAUCAGCUAGACCUUGCACAGACGGCCGCUAAGGCCACACUCGACACAGUUGUGGCACGCCUCGAUGCAUUGCACACAACAGUCACAGAGUUGCAGCAAGGUUAUGGUGGUGACUCGGAACAGGACGAUGGCGACCGCCGAGGCCGUGCCCGCCGCGUGCCACGCCAUCCCGGUAAUGAUUCCUUUUCCAAGAUUAAAUUUAAAAUUCCACCUUUUAGUGGCAAAUAUGAUCCUGCUGCAUAUCUUGAUUGGGAAUUAGAAGUUGAACAGAAAUUUUCAUGCCAUGAUAUUCUUGCUAAUUCUCAAGUUAAAGCUGCUAUUAGUGAAUUUACUGAUUUUGCUUUAAUUUGGUGGCGUGAAUAUAAACACAAACAUCCCAAUACCAUUCCAACCACUUGGGAUCAAUUAAAAGCUGCUAUGCGCCACAGAUUCAUGCCUUCUUAUUAUGCUCGAGAUUUGCUUAAUAAAAUGCAGCGUUUUCAGCAAGGUUCCAAAUCUGUUGAGGAAUAUUUCCAGGAAUUACAAAUAGGCAUGAUUCGUUGUGGGUUAUUGAAGGAAAACGACGCUGCUAUGGCACGUUUUCGUGGUGGUUUGAACCGCGAAAUUCAGGAUAUACUUGAUUAUAAGGAAUACACAGAUAUGACAACAUUAUUCGAAUAUGCUUGCAAAGCUGAACGUGAAGUGCAGGGAUGCCGCUCGAAGACAUAUUCUAACUCUUUUGCAGGGAGAAGCUCGACAUCCCACUCCGCACCCGCUCUACCUGCGCCACCCACGCCCACCACUACACCGCGCGAGAGAACGGCCAAACCUGCAAGCGCUGCCCCUUCCACAGGCGCCGCCCCUCCCACAGGCCGCACACGGGAUAUUCAGUGCCAUCGUUGCAGAGGAUUUGGCCACGUGUUUCGGGACUGUCCAAACAAGCGUACCUUGCUCAUUCGUGACGAUGGUGAGUAUUCUUCCGCUAGUGAUUCUGAAGAUAUUCAACAUGCUAUGCUUGCCACUGACCAUGCAGCAAAAGCGGAAGUACAUGUCAACCCGGGCGACGCCGAUAGGUAUGAAAGUCUUGUUGUGCAGCGUGUUCUUAGUACACAGGUCGCUCCGCCCAAGAAGAAUCAGCGACACACUCUUUUCCAUACCACGGGCGUUGUGCAGGAGCGAUCGAUUCGCAUCAUCAUCGACAGCGGCAGCUGCAACAAUUUGGCAAGUACCGCGCUGGUUGAAAAGUUGUCUUUACCCACUCGUAAGCAUCCAAAUCCAUAUCACAUUCAAUGGCUUAAUGAUGGUGGGAAAAUUAGAAUUACUCGAUCGGUCCGUGUUCCUUUCUCCAUGGGUGCUUAUUCUGAUUUUGUCGAUUGUGAUGUUAUUCCCAUGGAAGCAUGCUCUCUGUUACUUGGGCGACCUUGGCAAUAUGAUACUGAUAGCUUGCAUCAUGGUCGUUCAAAUCACUAUUCUUUCCUGUUUAAGGGUCAGAAAAUAAUUAUACAUCCAAUGACACCUGAACAAAUUCUUAAAGAUGAUCUUGCUAGAGCUGCUAAAACUGCUAAACAACUUGAACCAUCGACCUCUGCUAAUUCUGAAAUCAAGUUGAAUGCUCCUGUUUUGCUUGCUACACGUGCUGAUUUUGAUGAGUUACGCGAUGCUCCUUUGCCAUGCUAUGCCCUUUUAUGCUCUAGUGUGCUCGUUUCACUUGAUGAUGCACCAUCUUUGGAUAUUCCCCCUACGGUUGCUAACAUUUUGCAAGAGUACGCUGAUGUCUUUCCAAAAGAUUUGCCAUCGGGACUCCCACCACUUCGUGGCAUUGAGCACCAGAUCGACCUCAUUCCCGGCGCACAGCUUCCGAACCGCGCACCGUACCGUACAAAUCCGGAUGAGACGAAGGAAAUCCAGCACCAGGUACAGGUGUUGCUUGACAAGGGUUAUAUUCGUGAGUCUCUUAGCCCUUGCUCCGUUCCCGUGUUACUUGUUCCAAAGAAAGAUGGCUCAUGGCGUAUGUGUGUAGACUGUCGUGCUAUUAAUAACAUUACCAUUCGCUACCGAUACCCUAUACCAUGCCUUGAUGAUAUGCUAGAUGAGCUUAGUGGUGCCAUUAUUUUCACUAAGAUUGAUUUGCGUAGUGGCUACCAUCAGAUUCGCAUGAAAUUAGGUGAUGAAUGGAAAACGGCUUUUAAAACGAAAUUUGGGUUAUAUGAAUGGUUGGUUAUGCCGUUUGGUUUGACAAAUGCUCCCAGCACAUUUAUGCGUUUGAUGAAUGAAGUUCUGAGGCCCUUCAUAGGAUUGUUUGUAGUUGUCUAUUUUGAUGAUAUCCUCAUUUACAGCAAGUCUAUGGAAGAGCAUUUAGAACAUUUGCGUGCUGUUUUUGAUGCGUUGCGUGCGGCCCAUUUAUUUGCUAACAUCGAAAAAUGCAUGUUUUGCACACAACGUGUCUCGUUUCUUGGCUAUGUUGUUACUCCACAGGGCAUUGAGGUGGAUAGCAGCAAGAUCGAUGCCAUUCGGGCGUGGCCUACACCGACGACAGUCACACAAAUUCGAAGCUUUCUUAGCCUUGCAGGUUUCUACCGCAGGUUUGUUCGUGAUUUUAGCUCCAUUGCAGCGCCUCUACAUGAGCUUACAAAGAAGGAUGUCCCCUUUGCUUGGAGUGAUUCGCAAGAGGUUGCGUUCAGCACCUUGAAAGAUAAGUUAACCAAUGCUCCUCUCUUGCAGUUGCCUGAUUUUACUAAAGUGUUUGAGCUUGAAUGCGAUGCUAGCGGUAUUGGGCUAGGUGUUGUUUUGUUACAAGAAGGAAAACCGGUUGCUUACUUUAGCGAGAAAUUAAGUGGUGCUAGCUUGAAUUAUUCUACUUAUCAUAAGGAGCUUUAUGCUUUAGUGCGCACUUUGCAUACUUGGCAGCACUACCUUUGGCAUCGCGAGUUUAUAAUUCAUUCUGAUCAUGAGGCUUUAAAACAUAUUCGUACCCAAACAAACCUGAACCGUCAUCAUGCUAAAUGGGUAGAAUUCAUUGAGUCUUUCCCUUACAUUAUUAAACACAAGAGCGGGAAGGAAAAUGUCAUUGCUGAUGCUUUGUCUCGUCGCUAUACCAUGCUGUCACAGUUAGAUUUUAAAAUCUUUGGCUUGCAAACUGUGAAGGAUCAAUAUGUGGACGAUGCUGAUUUUAAAGAUGCUUUCGCCCAUUGUAUUCAUGGCAAACCAUGGGGCAAAUUUCACAUACAGGACGGGUUCCUGUUUCGCGCUAACAAGCUAUGUGUUCUAGCUAGCUCGGUUUGUCGUUUGUUGUUACAGGAAGCGCAUGGAGGUGGUCUCAUGGGGCACUUUGGCAUCUACAAGACGCAUGAAGUGCUGGCUGCCCACUUCUUUUGGCCCCGGAUGCGCGCUGAUGUUGAGCGCCUUGUUGCACGCUGCACUACUUGCCAGAAAGCUAAGUCACGAUUGAACAACCAUGGUUUGUACAUGCCUUUGCCUGUUCCUACUUCCCCUUGGCUUGAUAUUUCUAUGGACUUUGUUUUGGGAUUGCCUAGAACUAAGAAGGGGAGGGACAGUAUUUUUGUGGUUGUUGAUCGUUUCUCCAAAAUGGCUCAUUUUAUACCUUGUCAUAAGACUGAUGAUGCUAGCAAUGUUGCUGAAUUGUUUUUUUGCGAGAUUAUUUGUUUGCAUGGUAUUCCAAAUACAAUAGUCUCUGAUCGUGAUGCUAAGUUUCUCAGUCAUUUUUGGAGAUCACUGUGGAAUAAAAUGGGCACUAAAUUGCUGUUUAGCACCACUUGUCACCCUCAGACUGAUGGACAAACUGAGGUGGUUAAUCGAACCUUGUCAACCAUGCUUAGGGCUGUUUUAGAUAAACACUUGAAACGUUGGGAAGAUUGCUUGCCUCAUGUUGAGUUUGCUUAUAAUCAUGCAACGCAUUCUUCUACAAAGAUGUGUCCCUUUCAGGUUGUUUAUGGUUAUAUUCCUCGGGCGCCUAUUGAUUUGUUCGCGCUUGAUGCCGAGGAUGCCCCACACAUAGAUGUCGCUGCACAUGUUGAUCAAAUGAUUAGCUUGCAUGAGCAAACGCAACAAAACAUUGCUGCUGCUAAUGCUAAAUAUCAGGUUGCGGGUAGUAAAGGGAGAAAACAUGUUACUUUUGAACCGGGUGAUCUGGUUUGGUUGCAUUUGAGAAAGGAUCGUUUUCCUACUUUACGUCAUUCUAAAUUGAUGCCACGUGCUGCUGGUCCUUUUAAAGUGCUAACUAAGAUUAAUGAUAAUGCUUAUAUCCUUGACCUGCUUGCGGAGUUUGGUGUUUCCAUGAGUUUUAAUGUUGCAGAUUUGAAACCGUAUGCGGGCGAAGAUGAGGAGUUGCCGUCGAGGACGACUUCAGUUCAAGAAGGGGAGGAUGAUGAGGACACCACGAGUACAUCGACACCAGCAGCACCUCAGGCGCCUCCAGUUGCUCCUCCACCUCAGGCGCCUACAGUUGAUCAUCCAGUUGGGCCAAUCACUCGGGCCCGUGCGAGAGAAUUAAACUUCAUCAUGCUGUUAAGGAACGAAGGCCCAGCGGAAUAAGAAGAUGGCCCAACAGGGCAGCCCAGGUGGGGCGCCUAGGGUUGGGAGCCGCGGCCCUCCCCCUGGUCGCGCGCGCCCCCCUCCUGCCGUGGUGCCUCCUCCGGACUCCAGGGGCUGCGCCCCCUUUAUUUAGUCGGAGUCCCUUUUGUUUACAACUUGAGUUUUGUUUUACAUCUAG